UACGUAGGGAGCAAGCGUUGUCCGGAAUCAUUGGGCGUAAAGCGCGCGUAGGCGGCCCGAUAAGUCCGCUGUGAAAGUCAACGGCUCAACUGUUGGAUGCCGGUGGAUACUGUCGGGCUAGAGUACGGAAGAGGCAAGUGGAAUUCCUGGUGUAGCGGUGGAAUGCGCAGAUAUCAGGAGGAACACCUAUAGCGAAGGCAGCUUGCUGGACGUUACUGACGCUAAGGCGCGAAAGCGUGGGGAGCGAACAGG
rnacentral:rRNA from 1 species